ensembl:lncRNA
CCUAGCGGUUUCGUGGACACGGCUCGCGAGGGUCCGAUCGGGCCGAUUUUGGGAUAUUUGUCUCGGGGGGACCCCCUUAACCGGGCAGGAAAGUAUGGUGGCCAAACGACCUUCUUUAGGGGUCAAAGGGUCAAAAAAGGGAGCGUACGUCCACCAAACAGGUACGCGUUUAAAUUGGAGGUGGGACGUCCACCGUUCGGAGACGACAGGUCACAGGGCCCCGAGAUUUGAGAUUCUCGCAUCUCAGGGGCCCCUCUCUCGUCUACCUGAAGCACGAAGCUAUAGGACCUUGAAAAAAAAUACCCAUCUGGCAACCUGAAAUCACUCAAAAGGCUCUGAUCGUGUUAGAGUCUGAGAGGGCUGAGGGAGAGAUCUUGUGUAGGAGGCUCCAGAUUUUUCCCUCACCCUAGGGCCCCGCGCCUUCGACAGCUCGCUCGGGGAUGCCCCAGGAGCCACCGUUCCGAGUUUCGGGCCCCUGGGACGUUUCUAAAAAAAUCCCACCUGCCAUUUACUUGAAUGGUUCGGCCUAGCGGUUUCGUGGACACGGCUCGCAAGGGCCCUAGGGACCCGCGCCGUCGGCAGCUCUCUCGGAGUGGCCCCUGGAGCCACCGAGCCUAGUUUCGGG